rnacentral:rRNA from 1 species
AUGACCAUCCAACAAGAAGGUGCAGAACAGCCUAUAUCGCAUGUGGGAGGUGUGCCACGAACAGCCCACAAAUGGAGUCCCCCACCCGCCAACUGGACGAAGCUGAAUGUCGACGGCUCCUUUUCCCAUGAUGACGGGAGGGCCGGGACGGGAAUGGUGCUCCGUGACCAGGAAGGGGCCAUUAUUUUCUCCGCGUGUCGCUCGCUAUGGUCUUGCCCGGACCCUCUACAUGCCGAGCUAGCUGGGUGCAUGGAGGGCAUAGCUUUGGCCCUCCAAUGGACGGAGCUGCCGUUUAUCGUCGAGUGCGAUAGUCUGCAGGCAGUGCAACUGAUCAAUGCCUCAGGACAAGACCAGUCGCAGUACGCCAUGGUGGUCUCGGAAGUGAAGCAUCUUAUGAGUGAAAGGGAGUGUCAUGUUAUUCAUAUUUCUCGAGAGCAGAAUAAUGUAAGCCAUACGUUGGCGAACUUUGGAAGGACGGAAGACCGUACUGUGGUCUGGCUCCGCUCCGGCCCGGACAAUAUCCCUAGCUUGUGUAGGGAGGACCUUCUUGGCUCUUGA